GCCCGGGUGGCGAAAUUGGUAGACGCACAAGACUUAAAAUCUUGCGGUAGUAAUACCGUACCGGUUCGAUUCCGGUCCCGGGCACCA
rnacentral:tRNA from 3 species